rnacentral:rRNA from 1 species
GAGUUUGAUCAUGGCUCAGGACGAACGCUGGCGGCGUGCUUAACACAUGCAAGUCGAACGAUGAAGCGGUGCUUGCACCGUGGAUUAGUGGCGAACGGGUGAGUAAUACGUGAGUGACCUACCUUUGACUCUGGGAUAAGCCUGGGAAACUGGGUCUAAUACCGGAUACGACCAAUCUCUGCAUGGGGUGUUGGUGGAAAGCGUUAUGGAGUGGUUUUAGAUGGGCUCACGGCCUAUCAGCUUGUUGGUGAGGUAAUGGCUUACCAAGGCGACGACGGGUAGCCGGCCUGAGAGGGUGACCGGCCACACUGGGACUGAGACACGGCCCAGACUCCUACGGGAGGCAGCAGUGGGGAAUAUUGCACAAUGGGCGCAAGCCUGAUGCAGCGACGCCGCGUGAGGGAUGACGGCCUUCGGGUUGUAAACCUCUGUUAGCAUCGAAGAAGCGAAAGUGACGGUAGGUGCAGAGAAAGCGCCGGCUAACUACGUGCCAGCAGCCGCGGUAAUACGUAGGGCGCGAGCGUUGUCCGGAAUUAUUGGGCGUAAAGAGCUUGUAGGGCGGUUGGUCGCGUCUGCUGUGAAAGGCCGGGGCUUAACUCCGGUUUUGCAGUGGGUACGGGCUAACUAGAGUGCAGUAGGGGAGACUGGAAUUCCUGGUGUAGCGGUGGAAUGCACAGAUAUCAGGAGGAACACCGAUGGCGAAGGCAGGUCUCUGGGCUGUAACUGACGCUGAGAAGCGAAAGCAUGGGGAGCGAACAGGAUUAGAUACCCUGGUAGUCCAUGCCGUAAACGUUGGGCACUAGGUGUGGGGGACAUUCCACGUUUUCCGCGCCGUAGCUAACGCAUUAAGUGCCCCGCCUGGGGAGUACGGCCGCAAGGCUAAAACUCAAAGGAAUUGACGGGGGCCCGCACAAGCGGCGGAGCAUGCGGAUUAAUUCGAUGCAACGCGAAGAACCUUACCAAGGCUUGACAUGCAUUAGAUCGCGUCAGAGAUGGCGUUUCCCUUCGGGGCUGGUGUACAGGUGGUGCAUGGUUGUCGUCAGCUCGUGUCGUGAGAUGUUGGGUUAAGUCCCGCAACGAGCGCAACCCUCGUUCUAUGUUGCCAGCGGUUCGGCCGGGGACUCAUAGGAGACUGCCGGGGUCAACUCGGAGGAAGGUGGGGAUGACGUCAAAUCAUCAUGCCCCUUAUGUCUUGGGCUUCACGCAUGCUACAAUGGCCGGUACAGAGGGUUGCGAUACUGUGAGGUGGAGCUAAUCCCUUAAAGCCGGUCUCAGUUCGGAUUGGGGUCUGCAACUCGACCCCAUGAAGUCGGAGUCGCUAGUAAUCGCAGAUCAGCAACGCUGCGGUGAAUACGUUCCCGGGCCUUGUACACACCGCCCGUC